rnacentral:rRNA from 1 species
GAUGAACGCUGGCGGCGUGCCUAAUACAUGCAAGUCGAGCGAACGGACGAGAAGCUUGCUUCUCUGAUGUUAGCGGCGGACGGGUGAGUAACACGUGGAUAACCUACCUAUAAGACUGGGAUAACUUCGGGAAACCGUAGCUAAUACCGGAUAAUAUUUUGAACCGCAUGGUUCAAAAGUGAAAGACGGUCUUGCUGUCACUUAUAGAUGGAUCCGCGCUGCAUUAGCUAGUUGGUAAGGUAACGGCUUACCAAGGCAACGAUGCAUAGCCGACCUGAGAGGGUAAUCGGCCACACUGGAACUGAGACACGGUCCAGACUCCUACGGGAGGCAGCAGUAGGGAAUCUUCCGCAAUGGGCGAAAGCCUGACGGAGCAACGCCGCGUGAGUGAUGAAGGUCUUCGGAUCGUAAAACUCUGUUAGUAGGGAAGAACAUAUGUGUAAGUAACUGUGCACAUCUUGACGGUACCUAAUCAGAAAGCCACGGCUAACUACGUG